GGACUACCGGGGUAUCUAAUCCUGUUUGCUCCCCACGCUUUCGCGCCUCAGCGUCAGUUACAGGCCAGAAAGCCGCCUUCGCCACUGGUGUUCCUCCACAUCUCUACGCAUUUCACCGCUACACGUGGAAUUCCGCUUUCCUCUCCUGCACUCAAGCCACCCAGUUUCCAGUGCGAACCGAGGUUGAGCCUCGGGCUUAAACACCAGACUUAAGCGGCCGCCUGCGCGCGCUUUACGCCCAAUAAUUCCGGACAACGCUUGCCCCCUACGUAUUACCGCGGCUGCUGGCAC
rnacentral:rRNA from 1 species